rnacentral:sRNA from 1 species
ACUAGGAGGGAUGCCACCCACCCCAGCCAACCCACAUAGAGCAGCAGUCAUCUCGUAUUGGGUAAGUUCUUGGGGGCGCUUUCGGCAGUUGUGUUUUAUCAUCAUUCUCCUACCUUGCUCAUAACCAUGCAACUUGGUGUCAGGUCCAGAACACGGCUUCGGGACUUUAACGCCAUCUUGCAAAUAUCCCGUUGGCUAUUGGGGUGACGGCUAGUAGGGAGUGCAAGGUCUGUGCAUGGAAUUAUAUCUCACUUGAUUUUUUUCACCGUUGGGGCAGCAAACACCGUCUUGAAAUCGGAUAAAGCAGCUAAAAGCAGUAUCCCUCGUCUCGAGAGACGGCUGCAACCACGAAAUCCGCCAGGCCGACUUGACGACCGCGCGCCGAAGCUUUUCAACGACAUCCGGUAACAUCAUACACAGUCAAGAGUACAGAGUACGGAGGGCGCUAUCAAAAGAAUUGCGCCGCCCAGAUUCAAUUUAUACAGCUAAGAAGCGCCACCAUGUUUUAAUGAGUAAUUACAUUUAGCUUUGAAUCACCCUGCAUUCUAUUUAUAUGAGGUUGCCAUGUAUUCUGAAUUGAUUCCUCUUUUUUCUCAAAUAUCUCAUUGCAAGCGGCGGUUCAAGGAUCUCUCUCGCUGCUUAUAUCAAGGAAGGCCCUUAGGACUCUACGAGGAUCAAGUUAUAGAAGAUAAUACAGUAAUAUAUCGAAGGGGAUUGAUUUGAAUCAAAUGAUUAGAUAUCGAGAAUGUGGAACAUAGGGGUCAGAUUAUAUCAGAAUGAUCCGCUGGCCUCUAGUAGAUUGGGACCAGCUGCUAUGCUGUAUACACAUAAUAUUGUAGGC